GAAAAAUAACCAUUGGACUCCAGUCCAGGCAGAGAAUUGGCCUUGUCCCUGGACUCCAAAGACACAUGGAAUUGCUAAAAUUCAGCCUGAAUGCAGAUGGGGCUUUGACAAGCUCUAAAAUUGUUCAACAUUUCAGCUGAGGCUGAAAGAGACCCUUAGUAGCACAGAACUUGGGACUGACAGAACUCCGCAACUGCUGCACUUGUGUGCCAUCCAUCCCAGCCUUCAUGCAGCUACCUGAUUUGCCGUUCUUUCCAGGCUGAUUUUUUACAGCUGAAAAUGCUGAGAUGAAAAUCAAGAGAUUGCUUAGCAAACACCUUGCACCAAGCUCAGACAAGUAUGUCUUCUGACUCAAGGCUAUGGGCAGUUGCAGUUGGGAAAGUGAAAAGGAAACUAGAUUCCACUGAUUGUUUUAAUGUGACUGCUAAAAUGUACAGCCAGAGAUCAAAGAAAAAAGCUUUAAUUUUCUCCAGGGAUACAGAAAUCAGACAGGUGAAUACUGGAGGCCUUUGCUUCUUGCUGAAUUUCUUGAGAAGGAAAUGGGCCGCACUUGGCAGUCCUGUCUCUCAGGGAUACACAGCCACUGAUAAUACUUCCACCUGUUUUCAGCUAAAACAACCUUUUCAAGGAAAAGCAAAAUUGUAUAAGGGUACUUUCUAAACCAGCUCCAACCCAUGCUACUUCCAUCUGCCAGGCAAAGGUUAUGCAGACAUUCACGCUAUAGCCAUAUCUGAUCUUUCCUCUUAGCAGUAACUGUUGUUUUGAACAGCCCACAGGAUGCAGUGAGGAUUUCACAAACGUUUUCCUCUGCUGAGGUAGGUAACUGGUAGCAUUGGGAGGCAUGCGUUCACUUCUUCUGCAGCUAUGCCUACCUGAAGGGAACAGCAG
rnacentral:lncRNA from 1 species